rnacentral:lncRNA from 1 species
CAUGGCAAUGGCAGAUCCUUAACCCACUGAGCAAGGCCAGGGAUCGAACCUGCGUCCCCAUUGAUAGCAGUCACGUUUGUAACCUGCUGAACCACAUUGGGAAUUCCUGUCUGAGUUUUUUUAAUGGCGCUCUGGGCUUUAAUUGUAUCCUUUGCAAAACUGGAAGGAAUUCAAAUUUGGAUCUUCUCUAUAUGCCGUUUUUCUCUUUUCUUUCAUGUUUGAAAAUGUGAUGGAGUUCCCGUUGUGGCUCAGUGGUUAACGAAUCUGACUAGGAACCACGAGGCUGUGGGUUCGAUCCCUGGCCUCUCUCCGUGGGUUAAGGAAUUCAAAUUUGGAUCUUCUCUAUAUGCCGUUUUCUCUUUUCUUUCAUGUUUGAAAACGUGAUGGAGUUCCCGUUGUGGCUCAGUGGUUAACGAAUCUGACUAGGAACCACGAGGCUGUGGGUUCGAUCCCUGGCCUCUCUCCGUGGGUUAAGGAAUUCAAAUUUGGAUCUUCUCUAUAUGCCGUUUUCUCUUUUCUUUCAUGUUUGAAAACGUGAUGGAGUUCCCGUUGUGGCUCAUGGUUAACGAAUCCGACUAGGAACCAUGAGGCUGUGGGUUCAAUCCCUGGUCUCUCUCUGUGGGUUAAGGAUCUGGCGUUGCCCUGAGCUGUGGUGUAGGUCGUAGGCGAGGCUUGGAUCCCGCAUUGCUGUGGCUGUGAUGAGGCCGGCAGCUACAGCUCCAGUUCGACCCCUAGCCCAGGAACCUCCAUGUGCUUCAGGCACGGCCCUAAAAAAACCAAAAAAAAAAAAGGCGGGGGGGGAGACUAUCAUAAUGUUAGUUUCUGGCUCUUAAUUGUCUUUAAGAUUCCCUAAGUCUUUUGUUUUUGGACUAUGCUCUUUUGACAUUUCUGAACAGUUUGCUUUUAUUACGCUUUUAAUCAUAGAUUUGAGGCCAUUUGUUCAAAGACUUGUGUUGUUUGCUGGCUGGGUCUCUGAGCCGCGUCUCUUCACCUGACCGUCGUUUUGUGCAUAUUCUUUGAAUUUCUCUAUUUCUUUCGUUAAAAAGAUCUCUGUAUGAUAUCUUUCUCUGAUUAGCUUUCUCUGUAGCAUCACUUCUGUUUUUAUUACAUUUAUCUAUUCAUUGAUUUCGUGCAGACCUUAUGAUUCCACUGUUUGCUUUGCAACCUGUGCUUAUGUAGUUAUGUCUGUUUCAGCCACUCUGAGGAGUUGAUUGAUUGUUUAUUGUGGGGAAGGCAUUCAUUGAAAGGAAUUGGCUUUGUUCUUCUUUCUACAAUAAGAUUUUUUUCUUGGACCGCAUACAUCUUUUUCUUAUUUGUUCAUUCUUGUACGUUUAGUUGCUAAUCUUCCUUCCAUGGUUGCAGACUGUUUCGCUUGUGCUGUGUUUACUGAGAUUUUUGAGAAGUCUUUCAAUAUAGAAGUUUCGUUUCAGGCUCAUUAUAAAGGUUGAGGAAUUGGAGGAAUUGAGCCCUUUUUUUUUGCAGUGUGAAACUAAUUAAUGGCCACAUUUGAAUUACAGACCCCUCAUUUUGGAAAAUUACUUUGUGUGAGAGAAAUGAAACUCUAAGCUCCCCUUUCAUCUUUGUUAAGAUUAACUUGAAGGAAGAGCCCCUCCUAGUAGGAGACAGCCUUUCUAGGGACGUCAUUGGCACCCGAGAGACGCGGAAUCUGUCCUGUUUCUGGGGUGCCGGCCGAUGGGCGCCGAGGCCGCCGGGCCUGUGCGUGUGCAGCUGCGCCCAAGACGCCCCUUUCUCGGUCACUCUUCCCUCUCGUGCCAGAAGGAGGGCAUAGCGCCUCUCGUCCCGAAUCUGCUGUCUGUGUGCACACCUCCCCGUUGGCUAACAAAGGAAUGGUUAGAAAUACUUUUAAGAAAAUGAACGACGCCGAGUAACAAAUCCUUUUACAAAUCAGAUGGAUAUUCGUUUUUACUUUCAAGAGAACUGGAAGAAUUGUCAGUUGGUAGAUUUACAAAUAUUUUUCGAUGAUAGGUCACUGUGUAAUUUUGGGAUUUAGUUCAAGGUUCAAAGGCUGACUGAUACUUGACGCAACAAAAAUUUCCCUCAUUCCCAUCCUAGUUAUUUAUGUGAACAAAAUGUCUUGACACUUGUAACUAUAAAAACGGAAAAUUAAUGCAUUUACAGUAAAAUUUCGGAGUUCCCCUUGUGGUUCAGCAGUAACAAAUCUGACUAGGAUCCGUGAGGAUGCGGGUUCAAUCCCUGGCCUCACUCAGUGGGUUAAGGAUCCAGUGUUGCUGGGAGGUGGGGUGUAGGCUCAGAUCUGGCGUUGCUGUGGCUGUGGUGUAGGCUGGCCACUAUAGCUCCGAUUUGACCCCUAGCCUGGGAACUUCCAUAUGCCAUGGGUGCGGCCCUAAAAAGACAAUAAAAUAAAUAAUAGAAACUUACUUUUUAUGGUUAAUAAUAUUUAUAUUUAAUAAUACAAAUUCGUAAUAUUUUUGAUCAAUUGCAUAUUAACAAUAAAUGUAAUGAAACCCCAAUCCAGAGAAGAAAAUUUUGUGUAACUUUAGAGUUUACUGUCAUAGGAAAAUUUUAAAAAUUAUAUUUGUGUAUAAUAACAUUGCAGAGAAGUAUCAUAGGUUUAUCAGUAAAACACUUUAAAGCAUAAAUACUAGAGAAAAUUCUAAAGAGGAAUUAAAAAUGGUAAGUGUACAAGGAGAAAAACGAAUAGUAUAAAAUUUCAUGUUUUUGGGCCUGACAUGGCUCAGUAGUUGAUGAACUUGACUAGUAUCCAUGAGGAUAGGGGUUCGAUCCCUGGCCUCGAUCAGUGGGUUAAGGAUCUGGCAUUGCCGUGAGCUGUGGUGUAGGUUGCAGAUGAGGCUCGGAUCCCGCGUUGCUGUGGCUGUGGUGUAGGCCGGCGGCUGUAGCUCCGAUUCAACCCCUAGCCUGGGAACCACCAUAUGCCGAAGGUGUGGCCCUAAAAAGACCAAAAAAAAAAAAAAAAAAAAA